rnacentral:SRP_RNA from 10 species
GCAGUGUGUGUGCACCUGUUGUCCGAGUUACUCAGGAAGCUGAUGCAGGAGGAUCACUUGAGUCCAGAAGUUCUGAGCUGUAGCACCCUAUGCCUACUGGAUGUCCACACUAAGUUUAGCAUCAAUAUGGCAACUCCUGGGAGUAGGGGACCACCAGGUUUCCUAAGGAAGUAUGAACUGGCUGGCCCAGGUCAGAAAUGGAGCAGGUCAAAACUCCUGUGCUGAUCAGCAGUGGCACUGUGCCUGAGAUUAGCCACUCCACGCCAGGCUAGGCAACACGGCAAGACCCUGU